UCCCUAUGGGGUGCACCAGGCGCGAAACCUUUACACUGCACGCGAGUGCGAUAAGGGGACUCCAGGUGCGAGGGCAUAUAGUCCUCGCUUUUCUCGACCGUAGGGAGGUCGAGGAACAAGUGCUGGGCAAGACCGGUGCCAGCCGCCGCGGUAAUACCGGCAGCACAAGUGAUGACCGCUGUUAUUGGGCCUAAAGCGUCCGUAGCUGGCCAGACAAGUUCAUCGGGAAAUCUGUGCGCCUAACGCACAGGCGUCCGGUGGAAACUGCCUGGCUUGGGACCGGAAGACCAGAGGGGUACGUCUGGGGUAGGAGUGAAAUCCCGUAAUCCUGGACGGACCACCGGUGGCGAAAGCGCCUCUGGAAGACGGAUCCGACGGUGAGGGACGAAAGCUCGGGUCACGAACCGGAUUAGAUACCCGGGUAGUCCGAGCUGUAAACGAUGUCUGCUAGGUGUGACACAGGCUACGAGCCUGUGUUGUGCCGUAGGGAAGCCGUGAAGCAGACCGCCUGGGAAGUACGUCCGCAAGGAUGAAACUUAAAGGAAUUGGCGGGGGAGCACUACAACCGGAGGAGCCUGCGGUUUAAUUGGAUUCAACGCCGGAA
rnacentral:rRNA from 1 species